UCAGCUUGGAUGGUAGUGUAUUGGACUACCAUGGCAGUCACGGGUAACGGAGAAUUAGGGUUCGAUUCCGGAGAGGGAGCCUGAGAAACGGCUACCACAUCUACGGAAGGCAGCAGGCGCGAAAAUUGCCCAAUCCUGACACGGGGAGGCAGUGACAAGAAAUAACAACUCUAGGUUUUCUUAGAAGUGUAAUGAGGAUAAUUUACAAACCUUACCAAAUGCAAUUGGAGGGCAAGUCUGGUGCCAGCAGCCGCGGUAAUUCCAGCUCCAAUAGCGUAUAUUAAAGUUGUUGCAGUUAAAAAGCUCGUAGUUGAAAUUCUGAUUGUUCGGGUUUUUAGCCUUUAGGCAGAAAUACCGACAGUCAUCCGCUUGCAAACAUAGCUUGAUCUUAACCGAUUAACUAUGUGAGUAAGCACUUUACCUUGAGAAAAACAGAGUGUUCCAGGCAGGUUUGUCCGGAAUGCAUUAGCAUGGAAUAAUAGAACAUGACUGAAGUCAAUUUAUUGGUUAAAGACUUUAGUAAUGAUUAGUAGGAACAGUCGGGGGCAUUCGUACUCAGCAGUCAGAGGUGAAAUUCUAAGAUUUGCUGAAGACGAACUAAUGCGAAAGCAUUUGCCAAGGAUGUUUUCAUUAAUCAAGAACGAAAGUUAGGGGAUCAAAGACGAUCAGAUACCGUCCUAGUCUUAACUAUAAACGAUACCGACUCGGAUUCAGAUGAAUCAAAAUGUUCAUUUGGGACCGUAGGAGAAAUCAAAGUCUUUGGGUUCUGGGGGGAGUAUGGUCGCAAGGCUGAAACUUAAAGGAAUUGACGGUUUUGCACCACCAUGGAGUGGAGUUUGCGGCUUAAUUUGACCCAACACUGGGAAACUCAUCAGGGCAAGAAGAUUUUAGGAUUGACAGAUUGAGAGUUCUUUCUUGAUUGGUCUAGUGGUGGUGCAUGGCCGUUCUUAGUUGGUGGAGUGAUUUGUCUGGUUAAUUCCGUUAACGAACGAGACCUUAACCUGCUAACUAGUGUUCUUAUUUCAAAUUUGAAUCACUUCUUAGAGGGACUAUGUGAUGUAAUCACAUGGAAGUUUGAGGCAAUAACAGGUCUGUGAUGCCCUUAGAUGUCCUGAGCUGCACGCGUACUACAAUGGCACUUUCAACGAGUUUUUCCUGAUCCGAAAGGAUUUGGGUAAUCUUUUUAGUGAGUGCCGUGAUUGGGAUAGAUCUUUG
rnacentral:rRNA from 1 species